AGGUCAGCAUCAUUGCACAACACAUCACCAUCAUGUUGUAAUGCCUGAACACUGACAGAUUGUUCUCUGUGAUCGUCUCAGGAAACUCCUCAACUGGAGAUGACCCUUGUGGGCGUGGUCUCUCACUCUCUGCAAACUGAGAUGGCUCAUCACAUAUCUGCAUGGACAUAAGGCUCCGCUUCAAACAGAGCAGGAGAGAAACGCAGAGCUGCCUGACAUCCUCUCGAUGAUGACAUCUUCAAACACUCCCCUGCGCUCUGCAGACACACCCAGCACUCACUGCAGAUGAAGACCGAUGUGAAUGUGUCCACAAACCUCAUGUCCCUGAAGGAUAAACUCUGCUUUGUUUGCUUAUUCGCCAAGGUCCUCUGGACAGUGCGCUGAUUCAACCAUGGGCCCAAGAUGUAACGUGACCUUUCGUGUUUAAGUAGAAAUUCAUUUGAAAGGGUA